rnacentral:rRNA from 1 species
UACGUAGGGUGCGAGCGUUGUCCGGAAUUAUUGGGCGUAAAGAGCUCGUAGGCGGCUUGUCGCGUCGGCUGUGAAAACCCGGGGCUCAACCCCGGGCCUGCAGUCGAUACUGCCGUGCUUGAGGACUGGAGAGGAGACUGGAAUUUACGGUGUAGCGGUGAAAUGCGUAGAUAUCGUAAGGAAGACCAGUGGCGAAGGCGGGUCUCUGGACAGUUCCUGACGCUGAGGCACGAAGGUCAGGGGAGCAAACGGG